rnacentral:rRNA from 1 species
GAGGAAUAUUGGUCAAUGGACGCAAGUCUGAACCAGCCAUGCCGCGUGAAGGAUGAAGGCCUUCUGGGUUGUAAACUUCUUUUAUCAGGGAAGAAAAUUACGGUUUCUACUGUAACCGACGGUACCUGAGGAAUAAGCACCGGCUAACUCCGUGCCAGCAGCCGCGGUAAUACGGAGGGUGCAAGCGUUAUCCGGAUUCACUGGGUUUAAAGGGUGUGUAGGCGGAUAUUUAAGUCAGUGGUGAAAUCUCCGGGCUCAACCCGGAAACUGCCAUUGAUACUAUUUAGCUUGAAUACUGUUGAGGUAGGCGGAAUAUAUCACGUAGCGGUGAAAUGCUUAGAUAUGAUAUAGAACACCGAUUGCGAAGGCAGCUUACUAAGCAGUUAUUGACGCUGAGGCACGAAAGCGUGGGGAUCAAAC